ensembl:lncRNA
GGCCCCUCCUGGACCUACCGAAGCAGAACCUCUGGGGGUGGGCCCUGGCAUCUGUGCCUUAUCGAGUUUUCUGGUGAUUCGUAUGACUGUUAAGGUUUGACAAGCACUGACCUACAGGGGUGCCCCACCUCUGCCCAGGAGCACUCCCAUCUCCGGAUCCUACAGGAGGCCUCCCAGUACUUCCUACCCCCAGGGCAAACCAAUGACAAGACCCAUCAGGUACCAGAUCAAAAGGGGCAAUAGACUUACCAUGCGUAAAUAAUAUACCCUGCAAGUUAUUCUCUGUGGUUAUCAAAACCGUGCUGGGCUGCAUCAAGCAGAGUGUUAUGGGCUGAACUGUGUCCCCCCAGAACUCAGAAGUUGAAGUCUUAACUCCCAGUACUGCAGAAUGUGACUGCAUUUGGAGACAAGGCCUUUAAAGAGGUAAUUAAAUUAAAAUGAAGUCAUUAGGGUGGGCCCUAAUCCAAUAGGACUGUCUCCUUAUAAGGAGAGACUAGGACGCAGACACAUGCGUGCGAAGACACAGGGAGAAGACGGCCAUCUGUAAGCCAAGGAGAGAGGCCUGGAACACAUCGUUUCCUCAUAGCCCUCAGAACGAACAGCCCUGCCCUCACCUUGGUCUCGGAACACCAGCCUGCAGAGUUGCGAGAGAAUGUGUUGCUGUUGGUAGAGCCACCCACUCUGUGGUGCUUUGUCACACGGCCUAGCAAACCACUACAUAGCACAAACAUCUACUCGCCUCGAAACAAUGAACUCUGAUGUACAAAAUGUUCCCGAGAGACAGCUUCUGAGAUAGAUAAUGUUUAAAGAAAAGAAGGAGUGCCUUACUGAUCACUUCAUAAGAUGAGGACCCCUUCCCACUGUUACAAGACCACAGACCCCAGCAGCACAGAACUGCUCUCUACCCAACCCACGAGCCACAUGAAUCACUCAGUGACAACUUUCACACAAUUGCACCUGUUUCCGACAAUGAGCGCAACUAUAUAAUUAAAUAAAUUAAGAAGGCAAGGCCACUGGAUCAGAUAGCUUAUCCUUAGAUCCAUGAAUAUAUUUGGCAGGAACAUUAAGUCUUGAUAAAGAUGGUUCCAGAGUGUUUAAUCUGAGUUGUUGUCAGAAGCCGUGUCUGGAACAACCACUUCACUGUGAAGCCCAAAGCCCCAGUGAGACCUUGUCUGUCCCUGUGGCUGUUGGGAUGAGAGCUCUAGGGACCGGGGGAAGGGGGUGGCAGAGAGCAACUGACUUCCAUUUAAACUCAGUUGUCUGCCCAAGACUUCCAUUUCAUUGAAAUUGGCCCAUUCUGGCAUUGUCGACUAGGGAAGAAGAAUGCAUUUCCCCCAUGUCCCCCACACAGGCCAACCUGAGUGUCCGGAAAAUAGCCUCCCACAGGGGGAACCUAUGAAUGACCCUGCUAUCAAGAAACACAUCCAAUGAUCACCUGAUAUGGGAGGCAUCGACUCAUUGUGGUACUUUAACUGCCCACCCAUCUGUAGAACACAGAAGACCAGGAGCAUCAAUGAUUCCCAGCUUCUGACACAUAACGCUGAUUUUCAGAGAAAAGAAAAUUAUUUAAGCCAAAUUGCAUAACUAAUAUCUAAUCUGUAAACAUAUUUGAAACUUGGCAAAAAUCAGAGCUAGCUGGCCUUGAACCUGCAGCCCUGUGCAUCUGUGCACAGGUGGGAGUCCUGAGCAUAUUCUCUGAUGGCUGCCCAUAGGCCACGAGAUGUCAUCAUAUGGACCUGUCCAGAGGUCCACAAUUUGGGCCCUGCACAGAGAAUACAAUAAAUCGAUUGUGUGGGCUGACGAAUUACGUACUGAAGGAGAAGUUCACUCUAGGGUGGGCAUUAACCUGCAGAUGACGGCUGCCCCAGUGGAGAGGCGGUCAGACGCCGGUUCGGCAGGCCUGCUUGCCUCUGUGCUGGAGGUGGUGCAGCCCUGAGCAAAGUGCGCUCCAGUGCGGACCUCCUCAAAAGGGGUCAGGCAAGGCCAAGAAAAAAGCCCACUGACUCAAUCUCCACAUAAACAAGAUGCAAAAUUUCUUGAAAGGUCUGCAGGAAUCAAAGCACCUGUUUUGACAACUGUGCCCCAGGGCGCGCUGCCUAGCAGACAGGAGUUGGCUAAGCCGAGGAAAGAGGAGGACACUCACCGAGAACUGGACCCAAUUCUCACGUCACACCACAAGGCGGGAGAUGGAGCUCAUUUUACAGAUGAGGAACCCGAGACCUGGAUUACAUGCCUCUGCCAAGUGGGAGGAGCCAGCACUGGACAUGGGUGGUCUGACUCAAAUCCAGCCCUGUGGGCGACAUGGGGACUAAUCCCUGCCACAAAAAAAUAUCCCCCGUGCACUAGCCACCAGCGGUCAGCAAUAGCUUUUGUUUUUAGGGGAAUCAGAGGACACUCUGGUAGCCAAUUUCCAAGAUCCUCUCUUCCUGGCAUCCACCCCUCCCACACUGAGUCAAGGCUGGCCAUUAUGACUAGUAGAAUGUGGCAUGAGCACGGUGUGACCUCCAAGACUAGGUCAUAAAAAGCAGUGCAGCCUCCUCCUGGGUCUCUUGAAUCGCUCCCCCUGGGGGAGGCCAGCUGCCAUGUCUUGAGGACACUCAGGCAGCCCUGCGGAGAAGCCCACGGGGAGAGGAACUGAGGCCCCAGCCGAUGCCAGCACCAACUUUCCAGCCACUUCAGAAGAACUACAAAAGUGCUCCAUAUUCUGAUGGCCCCAUGCACACGCCUUGAGAAGAAGUGCCAUCCUUGAUUCCUGCUGAAACUACCUCCCUCAUAUCCCAAAUUGGCCUGUUCUUCUCCGCCUCAAAAAAAAGUUUGCUGGGCCCUGAUCUUCCCUUCGAACAUGAAGCUCUGCAGAGGGUCCUUGCGUGUGACAAUCAGGAAGUCUGUGUCCUCCAUGAGACACGCAUGACUUGCUAACCUCCAGGUGGUCAGCACCGGGCCCAGUGUUUGCUCGACUGAAUGGCACGGAAUCAACACAAGCUGCUCCCCAGGCUGAAGAGCUUGUACAGGUGACUCCUGUUGGCCCCAUCCUCUAGAGUGUCCACCCAGCUCCACCCAGGCCCGAAGAUCAGCCCCAAACUCCAAACAGAGCAAAGCCGCAGCCCACGCUCCCAUUUGAGCUGGGGCACCUCUGAGUCAGCUCCUGCCUGAACCUCAUGCUGCCCAGAGGGAGACUCCAUCGGCUCGGGCAGGGCCCAGACUAGCUGGAGGACUAAAGGACGGGCCGGUCAACCCUUCAGCAGGCUCAGCUUGCCCCCAGAGGCGCACACAGAAGCGGCCACAGCCUGAGGUCAGGCGUGAACGGUUCCCCCGGUCCAAACAUACAUGUGCUGCUGGAGUUGCUGUCAUCUCUUGAUGGAUGGUUCCAUUGGAAAAGGCCAAGAGUGACAAGGGGUCCCCUCAAGCCUGGUUUGUACCGGGGCUCACGUCAGUCUGGGUGGUCUCCGGCCUGCGCUAUCGCCAGCCCCCCUCCUGGGCUCCAGUGCUCUCGUUCAACAGGAGUCAAUCCUACGACCCUCACAAGCCUCUGGGUCUGCAAGCGGAGAGGAGGACUGAACCACCCGCACAAGGAGGCUGGCGGUUUGGGCCCAGGGCGCUGUAGACUGCCCGAGGGAACUUUCCAGGUGAUGAAAGCAGGGCACGGAGGGCAGGCAAGGCAAGAAUUCUUUUCCUGGAGGUUGAGCAACUCUGCUGCCCCUGCUCUUGCUGGGGGGCUGUCCUCAGCCCCUGUCCCUGCUGUGGCCUCCCUUCCUCCAUCUCUCCUCCCAGCCUUCCUUCCUUCCCCACACUUAGGACCCUGGGCCUUGGCCAGGACCAUGCCAACAAACCCGCGUGUUCACGGGCCUCUCCUCUCCUCUCCUACCCCUGCACACUCUGAUUGUGCUCUCCCAACCCCCCACUUCUUGGAAGCAGACAGCAGCUCCCUGGGGGAUGCUGGUGGGCUCAUCCCGGUCCCAAAGGGUGAGUCAUAAUUCAACCCUCCCAGUGGUUGGAUCAGGCAUGGACAUUCCAGACCAUCCUGACUAAAGAGACAAGAGGGGGCAUCUUCUAGAGGCUUCUGGGGAAGGUUGUCCUUGUUGUUGAGAUGAGACACCAAGAGGAGGACAGGAAAGAGCAGUGCCUCCCCUGUCACCGUCCACUCCCGUUGCUGGGCAUGGUGUCCGGACAGCGCGGGCAGCUUGUGCGGGGCAGGCCUCCUGUAGGCCAAAACGCGGAGGAAGGGGGAGAGAACCCAUGUUCUUGAUGAUGUUACCAGGCGAUGAAUUAAUUGAUUCUGGAAUCCCUCUGACUCCCGAAUUUGAGAUAUGUGAGAAAAUACACUUCCUUUGUCAUUUAAACCAUUUUGAAUUCAUUUGCAUGUUACUUGCAGCUAAAUUAGCUAGGCUCCAACAAGCUUUGGAGGGCCUGCCACCUCAUGAAACACAACUCCAUGAACCUGAGGCCUUUCCCCUCCAAGACACUGCCUCUUGCCCCAUAGAGUCUCCCCGGGGGCAUUUGUACCAGCCCCCAAAGCCAACGUGCUCCCUGACCACAUCCAAAGCAGAAGCUCGAUUUUGAAGCUUUCGUAUUUGCCUCCUCGUCCUUCCGCUUUCUCCUGCCACGUGCGAAGAUAUUGCAAAUUUUAUUUAAAACUGAAUCAUCAAACUUCUGCUUCUAGUAGUGAUGAGUAGUUAGUUCAAUUGAGAUAAAAUUCCUGGGGAGACAAGAUAAAAGCUGAAUACACUAUGAAAACAUCAGCUUAAGAGCGUGGGAGAGCUGGAAAUGGUGUGGAGAAUUCCUCCGGUAUUGGAGUGAAGGUGGAGACCCCCAAGAGGUGUGCUGGCCUCAGGGCUGCUUUUCCUUGUUUUCGGAGCAUUUUCCAGUUUCAGAGGGGCCAGGAGAGGCAGAGCGGCACAUUUAACAGCCUCGAAGAGCGGUAACUGAAGUCAAGGUGGGAACACAACGCAAAGCCAAGGAAAACUGACCGGUGUGAAAGAGCAUUCUUUUCAGUAUGUGAUGCUGGGGCAGCUGGUGAUCCACAAGGAAAUGAAAGAGAAAGCGAGUGUCCUCACACCAUACACACACAUUUGUAAGUCUAAAUGUGAAAGGCAAAACAAUACUUUUAGACAAAAAUAUAAAAGAAUGUUUUCUUGAACAUGGGCUAGAGAAAGAGCAAUUAAACUAGAUGUAAAAAGCGUUUCCAUAAAGGGAAAGACUUGAUAAACUAUUCUAUAAUAGUUCUAGGACCCUCUGGUCUCAAAAUACACCUGUAGGAAGGGACAAAAUACACCACAAUGAGGGGCCAGCCAGGUUGCAUAGUGGUUGGGUUCUCACACUUUGCUUUGGUGGCCCAGGGUUCAUGGGUUCGGAUCCCAGGCAAGGACCUACACACUGCUCAUCAAGCCAUGCUGUGGCGGUAUCCCACAUACAAAAUAGAGGAAGAUGGGCACAGAUGUUGGCUCAGGUCCAAUCUUCCUCACCCCCCCCCCCCCCCCGCCAAAAAAAAGUAUGCCACAAAUUGAGAGGAGAUGUCUGGAGGGUACUGACCUUACAAAGGGCUCUCUUCCCGUGUACAUAAGGGAUUUCUACACAUUAAGAAAAUGACGAUCAAAAAGAAAACUGAGCAAAAGACUUUAAAUGACCAAUAAAUCUAUGAAUAGAUACUUAAGUUGAUUAAUAAUCAAGGAAAAUUAAAUCAAAACCACAACGCAAUGAAUGGCCCAAAUGGAAGAGCCUGACUGUAGCAAGGUUUUGGUAUGACAUGACGUGACAGAGCUCUCACCCUCCGUGGUAAGAGUUUCCAUAAGUACAGCCACUUUGCAAGACAGCUUGACAUCAUUUAUUACAGCCAAGGACACAAAUCAUGUCACACCGAGCCAUUUCACCCCAAGGUAUGUUCCCAACGGAACUGCAUGGACAUGUUCACCAGGAGAUAAAUGCAAUACUCAUUGCAGCAGUAUUUGUAACAGCCUCAAACUGAAGAUAACCCAAAUGUACAUCAAUAACAGAGAUAUAUUCAUAAAGUGUUUUGCUAGACAGGAAUGAAAAGCAAUGAUCCACAGCUAAAUAUAGCAGGCCAGCUACAACAGAACAUGUACUGCAUGCUUUCAUUAAGAUAAAGAUCAAACCACCAAAACUAAACCAUGGCACUCACUUGCUCAAGAACAGCAAGAAGGUGAUUUCCAUCAAAGUCAGGAUAAUUGCUACCUUCAGAGGCAGGGGCAAGUGAGGGGUCCUUGGGAGUGGCAAUGUUAUCCUUCUUGACCUGGGUACUGGUUAUGCAGGUAUAAUUGUGAUAAAUUACCUUGGCUUUGCAUAAUUUUCUGAUUGUGUUUUAUAUUUUGCAAUAGAAAGAAGAUAAAAGGAAAAUUUGCACUCGCCCACCAUUCAGCGAAGGCUUCUGGGUCUAGGCCGGUCCCCCUCUGCUCUCCAGCACCGCCACACAGUGUUCACCCCAGACUCAGUGUCCCUCGGACUGCCAUGUGCUUUGUUCUGCACACUGUGGAUCUGGUAACUGGUCAUGUCUCCUCCUUUGGUUUCGGUGCAGGAAGGUUACCAUACCUGGGACCACUCGGGGCGCAGUUGCACGUCUUCCUGUGAGCUGAUCUUACUUAGGGUGUUAUUAUGUUUUCUACUCCUCAUUUUUCUACGAAACUUCCUCAGUGAUUCAUUUGAUCCUUUCUUAUUGUAUGUAUUUUGAUAAGCAAUUUUAUCUUUUUUCAUUUUGUAACUUUUUUUUUUUGAGGAAGUUUAGCCCUGAGCUAACAUCUGCUGCCAGUCCUCCACUUUUUGCUGAGGAAGACUGGCCCUGAGCUAAUAUCCGUGUCCAGCUUACUCUACUUUAUAUGUGGGACGCCUGCCACAGCAUGGCGUGCCAAGCGGUACCAUAUCUGCACCCAGGAUCUGAACCGGUGAACCUAGGGUCGCUGAAGCAGAACUUGUGAACUUAACCGCUGCGCCACCAGGCCGGGCCCAAUAUAAUAGUUUUUAUAAGUGGUAUUGUCCCAAUUCUCUAUUGCUGAGCCACCAACAACAGUAAACUUUAAUGCAUUGAAACAAUUCUGAUGCUUCUUCCUCAGCACGCAGCCGCCUGGCUGGGUAACGGAUAUGCUGGACUGGAACAUCCACAGUGGUUUCUCCACUGGGCUGGGCGUUCUUUCUCUCCACGCGGCUUCCCCAGCAGGGUAGCUCCAUCUCUUCACAGGAGACUCAGGGCUCCUAGGGACGGUGUUCCAAGAAGACGAGCCUAGCAUGAGCUGUUGUCAAGCCUCCUUGUCCUGCUCACUAACAUCCAUUGGUCAAAGCAUGCACAGGGUCAAGGUCAUUGGGAGGGGACAACACAAGGUGUGAGUACCAGGGCUCAUCCGAGGCCACCAAAAUAAAUACAUGUAUGUUGUAAUCAUAAAUAAUAAUAAAUAUGGAUAUACAGGAAUAAUCAAAUACCUGUAUUCAGGAACACAUGCUGCAAUAGAAAGACUUAAAAUAUUUGUAUGUUUCUGUGCACUUUUUCCUUCUCCGAUGAUUUGACCAAGACCUCACUAGAGACAAAAGCUUCCAGUUACUCGACGCACUCUCCAUUCACAGCAUCACUGGUUGGGAAGUUUUCCAAGAGU